UUAUAUUCAAUACUAUUUAAUUAUUUCUUUAAGUUUCAAAAACUUACGUACAUCUUAUACUAGAAUAUA
rnacentral:tRNA from 1 species